rnacentral:rRNA from 1 species
UAGGGAAUCUUCCACAAUGGACGAAAGUCUGAUGGAGCAACGCCGCGUGAGCGAUGAAGGCCUUCGGGUCGUAAAGCUCUGUUGUUAGGGAAGAACAAGUGCGAGAGUAACUGCUCGCGCCUUGACGGUACCUAACCAGAAAGCCACGGCUAACUACGUGCCAGCAGCCGCGGUAAUACGUAGGUGGCAAGCGUUGUCCGGAAUUAUUGGGCGUAAAGCGCGCGCAGGCGGUUUCUUAAGUCUGAUGUGAAAGCCCACGGCUCAACCGUGGAGGGUCAUUGGAAACUGGGGAACUUGAGUGCAGAAGAGGAAAGUGGAAUUCCACGUGUAGCGGUGAAAUGCGUAGAGAUGUGGAGGAACACCAGUGGCGAAGGCGACUUUCUGGUCUGUAACUGACGCUGAGGCGCGAAAGCGUGGGGAGCAAACAGGAUUAGAUACCCUGGUAGUCCACGCCGUAAACGAUGAGUGCUAAGUGUUAGAGGGUUUCCGCCCUUUAGUG